UUUUCAUUGUAGCAGGAGUUUAUUCCUGCUGAAGAUUUCUGACUUCAAUGACUAAACUAUCAUUGUGUACAAUCAGAUGUUAGAUACUGCAGAAAUAAACGUUACUGUGCUGAAGAUUUCUGACUUCAAUGACUAAGUAAAACUAUCAUUGUGUACAAUCAAAUGUUAGAUACUGCAGAAAUAAACAAAAUGUAUUGUUAACCUUCGCGUUACGUUAAGGAUGCGCAGUUUAUUUAUGAAGUGCAACAAGAACCUACACGUGGAUGACAUCAAAGUACUGCGAGAGCGACUCGAAAGAUCAUGGACAGCAUUCUGAUUUCAAAUCACUCUCGCGGUAUUUUAACGUCAUCUUUUUCUAGUUCCUGCAACUCAGCAUUACGUUGAACACCUUGUCAAAAAUGAUUGAGAUGGCCAAUCAAAUCAAAAAAGGCGAGUGCCACUGGCCAAUCACAUAACAGAAGACGAGCUUUCCUGUUAACGGAAGCCGAGCGGCGGCCAAUCAAAUUAACCAAUAGGCGGGGUUAACGUCGGAGUAGCAGUUACACCGCGUCAAUCAAUCAUAACGGACACAGAGAUUUCAAAGGCAGCAGGAUGAAAGAUAUGUGUCUGUGUUCAUCAAGACAUGAAGACUAUGGAGUGGGACAAGAGAAGGAUGAUGGGGUGUAUAUUCCAAUAGACACAUUAAGUCACACUGUGAUUUCAGUGAAAGCUGAUAAAUACAGAGGGCUGGACAGUGAUUUCAUUCAUUAGGUAAAGAGGUGGGACAAGGAUGCUGACAGGACAGGAGGAGGUGACAUUCAGGUUAGUGACAGUACAUCAGGGCCACCAUUUAAUUUAAUGUUAAUUUAAUUGCUUCCAAAAUCAAUACUUGACUAAUCUUUAGAAUUAUAUCUGCAAAGCUGAAUUUCUCAUAGGUGGAUAAAGUAUGACAGCAAUUGUGAAGACCUUAGACGUGCAGUAUAUGGUUCUUCUCUCUUUCAUUUAUAUUGAUUUGACUUAAUUUUCUUGGUAAAUAAUAAUGGGGAUAUUCCUAAUAUAAUAUAUUUUAAAUACAUGCUUAGAACAUAUCUCAUUUGCUUUGUAUCUAAAUGAAAAGUACCUCUUUAAGGUCUAAGCUAUGUUUCAUUUUAUUUAGACAUUCAACGCAGACAUUUUCAUCCAAAGCAACUUGAGGAAGAAAACAGAAGCAGUUCAUCCUAAAAGUGGGCUGCUGUAAUGUUUACAUGUAUGGAAAGAGGAGCUGAGAAGAAAAGAGAUGCUGGAAAGCAGUACUUCUUGUUGAGGACAAUCCUGAAUAGGAACACUUUCUCAUACACAUAGAUUAUUAUUAGUGUUUGAUUGUUUGUUUCAUUUUUAUGAAUUGUAUUGUUUUAAUUUUUCGUUUUAUUUGAAAUUACCUAAGUUAGAUUCAUGCUAAUACUUUAACUGGACCUUGUAUCUUUGCUGGCUGGCUGGCUGUAGAGUUGGUUUCACAUACACAUGAAGUUUCUAAUUAACUAAGUUUUAAGUUCAGUUUGGUUUAAACUUGUAUUUACCCAUGGUAAUUCAUUUAAAUUUCUAUUCAUGCUUAUAUAUUAAUUUCAAUGAACUUCUGUAUUUGUGUAUAGCUGGCAAUUUGGGCAAGCUACGUUUAACACACAAAUGUAACUGUCACAAAGGUUUUUUUUAUUAUCAGUUUGUUCUAAACAUUUGUUUGUUUACUAAGGAUGAAAUUGCUUUGUAAUUUAAGUUGUUGGUAGAUUCAUGCCAAUAAUGUAUUUGAACAAACUAGUAUUUUUGUUUAUUGCUAGCAGUUUAUACUAGAAGAGUUUUAACACAUACAAUGUUGUAGUGUUAUUGACUUGUGUGCUAUUGAUUAAUAAAAAGGCAAACAAUUUGAAAGUAAUUUUUCGUGUGAUUUAUUUAUUAAUAUAAUUUGGGCAAGAUUAGGCUGAGUUAUGGCUCAGUUUUAGAAGUUCUGGUUAAAUGCUGGUUUUAAUAUGGUUGACCUAUGGCUGAGAACUGGUACCGAUG